CCAAGCUACAAAGAGCCAACGGUGGAUGCCUUGGCGCCUGAAGCCGAUGAAGGACGUGGGUGGCUGCGAUAAGCCACGGGGAGCUGCCUACCAAGCUUCGAUCCGUGGAUGUCCGAAUGGGGAAACCCCGCACCCGUCAUGGGGUGUGACUCCGGUCUGAAUGCAUAGGACCGGCAGAGGGAACCGGGGGAACUGAAACAUCUCAGUACCCCGAGGAGAAGAAAGCAACAGCGACUCCCUGAGUAGCGGCGAGCGAAACGGGAUCAGCCUAAACCGGACCAGUGCUAAAGCCUGAUGGCGUUGCUGGUUCGGGGUCGUGGGACCUGGAUGAAGGGGCAUCAGACCCUUCACGGAGUUACAAAACUGCUGUUUAGUGGAAGCAUGCUGGAACGAUGCGCCAUAGCGGGUAAGAGCCCCGUACACGAAAGGCAUGCAGUCUCCGCCCAGUAAUCCCGAGUAGCGCCGGAUCCGGGAAAGCCGGUGUGAAUCUACGAGGACCACCUCGAAAGGCUAAGUACUCACAGGCGACCGAUAGUGAACUAGUACCGUGAGGGAAAGGUGAAAAGUACCCCGGGAGGGGAGUGAAAUAGUACCUGAAACCGUUGGCUUACAAACAGUCAGAGCGUCGUCGGCACUUGUUGCCGGCCGUGAUGGCGUGCCUUUUGAAGAAUGAGCCAGCGAGUUACCGUGUGUGGCGAGGUUAACCCGAUUGGGGGAGCCGGAGCGAAAGCGAGUCUGAAUGGGGCGUUCAGUCGCAUGCGGUAGACCCGAAGCCGAGUGAUCUUGCCAUGGGCAGGCUGAAGCGGGGGUAAGACCCCGUGGAGGGCCGAACCCACUCUGGUUGAAAACAGAGGGGAUGACCUGUGGUAAGGGGUGAAAGGCCAAACAAACUCGGUGAUAGCUGGUUCUCCCCGAAAUGCAUUUAGGUGCAGCGUCAGAUGUUCAGCAUCGGAGGUAGAGCACUGAAUGGGCUAGGGGGCCUACAAGCUUACUGACCCCAAUCAAACUCCGAAUGCCGAUGCUCCAGAGUCUGGCAGUGAGACCACGAGGGAUGAGCUUCGUUGGUCAAAAGGGAAACAGCCCAGACCGCCAGCUAAGGCCCCAAAUUCUAGGCUAAGUGGGAAACGAUGUGGGAACGCAGAGACAGCCAGGAGGUUGGCUUAGAAGCAGCCACCCUUGAAAGAGUGCGUAAUAGCUCACUGGUCGAGUGGUCCUGCGCGGACAAUGUAACGGGGCUCAAGCCUAGAGCCGAAGCUGCGGAUUUCCGCGUAAGCGGGAGUGGUAGGGGAGCGUCGAUCUUGCAGAGAAGCGGCGGUGGGAACCGUCGUGGAGCGUGAUCGAGUGAGAAUGCUGGCAUGAGUAGCGAGAGAGGGGUGAGAAACCCCUCCGCCGUAAGCCCAAGGGUUCCUGGGGAAGGCUAAUCCUCCCAGGGUAAGUCGGGAGCUAAGGCGAGGCCGAGAGGCGUAGUCGAUGCACAACUGGUUGAUAUUCCAGUACCACCGUGUCCGCGCCCAUCCCAAAUCGAGGGUACUAAGGGGCUGGCCUUCGGGCCGAUCCGACCGACCUUGACAAGGGAAGCGAAGGGGGGACGCAGGAGGGUAGAUGAGCCCAGGCGUUGGUUGUCCUGGGGGAAGCGAGUAGAGGGAGGUCUAGGCAAAUCCGGACCUCACAUACCUUGAGUCGUGAUCCCGAGCCGUUCUAGGCGAAGUCAUUGAGCCCAUGCUGCCGAGAAAAGCCCCUAGCGAGCUGGCACGGUGCCCGUACCCCAAACCGACACAGGUGGGCAGGUAGAGCAUACCAAGGCGAUCGGGAGAACUGUGGUUAAGGAACUCGGCAAAAUUCCUCCGUAACUUCGGGAGAAGGAGGGCCUCGUUAGGGUGAAGGACUUCGCGUCCGGAGCUCGAGGAGGUCGCAGCGAAUUGAGGGAAGCGACUGUUUACUAAAAACACAGCAGCGUGCUAAGUCGUAAGACGACGUAUACGCUGUGACGCCUGCCCGGUGCCGGAAGGUUACGGGGAAGGGUUAGUCCUUCGGGACGAAGCUCUGAACCUAAGCCCCGGUAAACGGCGGCCGUAACUAUAACGGUUAAGUACCUACUUGGCUGUUACCAAACCUGGCUAUAUGCUGGAACAUCCGAGUAUCCGGCGGUACUCGUCGGUGUUACACCCGGAAUUCAGGGUGCGAACAUGGGCAGUGAAAAUCCGACCGGUGCGGACAAUCAGCAGGAAACCUGAAAAGGGAUCCUCAGAGACUACACGCCAGGCCCGCUUGGUACCGAGCGCAAAGAGCUCGGGAAAUGCGGUGAAGAUAUAGUCCGACCCUCAUGGCGACAUGAGGAGCUGGGCAGAAAUGUCCCAGCCUCGCUCAUCGGAACCGUGAUGUAUGCGGUUGAGCGAAGUAACAACGUGCCUAAGGUAGCGAAAUUCCUUGUCGGGUAAGUUCCGACCUGCACGAAUGGCGUAACGACUUCCCUACUGUCUCAACCACAGACCCGGCGAAAUUGAAGUACGAGUAAAGAUGCUCGUUAGCUGCACCAGGACGGAAAGACCCCGUGGACCUUUACUGCAGCUUGAUGUUGAGCUUUGGUACGGAUUGUGUAGGAUAGGUGGGAGUCUGGGAAGCUCCGGCGUUAGCCGGGGUGGAGACAACGUUGAAAUACCACCCUGUUCGUACUGGGGCUCUAACCUCGGCCCGUAAUCCGGGCCAGGGACCGCGUCAGGUGGGCAGUUUGACUGGGGCGGUCGCCUCCUAAAAUGUAACGGAGGCGCCCAAAGGUUCCCUCAGGCUGGUUGGCAAUCAGCCGUCGAGUGCAAUGGCAAAAGGGAGCUUGACUGCGAGACUAACAGGUCGAGCAGGUGCGAAAGCAGGGCAUAGUGAUCCGGCGGUUGCUUGUGGAAGCGCCGUCGCUCAACGGAUAAAAGGUACCCCGGGGAUAACAGGCUCAUCUUCCCCAAGAGUCCAUAUCGACGGGAAGGUUUGGCACCUCGAUGUCGGCUCGUCGCAUCCUGGGGCUGAAGCCGGUCCCAAGGGUUGGGCUGUUCGCCCAUUAAAGCGGUACGCGAGCUGGGUUUAGAACGUAGAUAACACUGCGUCCCUAGGAAGUAAUUCCUGGGUGUUUGUCGGCUCAUAUCGGUGAAACCCUGAACUGUUACUACCGAACUGUAACUUCAGGGCAAUACCGAGGGAAGGCCAACACAAUGAGAGCGUUGGACGCGUCGUAUGUAGCAGGAUUCCUGGAUGGCGAUGGGAGUAUUCACUUCCAGCUCGUCAAGCAGCAGGAGUACAGGUUCGGGUUCUACAUCCGAGCCAGCACUUCUUUCUCGCAGAGCACGUCGGCCCGGUCUGGCCUGGAGGCAAUCCAUGGUC
rnacentral:rRNA from 1 species